AACGAACGCUGGCGGCAGGCUUAACACAUGCAAGUCGAGCGCGUAGCAAUACGAGCGGCAGACGGGUGAGUAACGCGUGGGAACGUACCCUUUUCUACGGAAUAACCCAGGGAAACUUGGACUAAUACCGUAUACGCCCUUCGGGGGCAAGAUUUAUCGGAGAAGGAGCGGCCCGCGUUGGAUUAGCUAGUUGGUGGGGUAAAGGCCUACCAAGGCGGCGAUCCAUAGCUGGUCUGAGAGGAUGAUCAGCCACAUUGGGACUGAGACACGGCCCAAACUCCUACGGGAGGCAGCAGUGGGGAAUAUUGGACAAUGGGCGCAAGCCUGAUCCAGCCAUGCCGCGUGAGUGAUGAAGGCCUUAGGGUUGUAAAGCUCUUUCACCGGGGAAGAUAAUGACGGUACCCGGAGAAGAAGCCCCGGCUAACUUCGUGCCAGCAGCCGCAGUAA
rnacentral:rRNA from 1 species